UACGAAGGGGGCUAGCGUUGCUCGGAAUUACUGGGCGUAAAGCGCACGUAGGCGGUCUUUUAAGUCGGGGGUGAAAUCCUGGAGCUCAACUCCAGAACUGCCUUCGAUACUGGAAGACUUGAGUCCGGGAGAGGUGAGUGGAACUGCGAGUGUAGAGGUGAAAUUCGUAGAUAUUCGCAAGAACACCAGUGGCGAAGGCGGCUCACUGGCCCGGUACUGACGCUGAGGCACGAAAGCGUGGGGGAGCAAACAGG
rnacentral:rRNA from 1 species